UACGUAGGGGGCAAGCGUUGUCCGGAUUUAUUGGGCGUAAAGCGCGCGUAGGCGGCGCGGUAUGUCGUGCGUGAAAUCUCCCCGGCUUAAUGGGAGGGGCCGUGCGAAACUGCCGGGCUUGAGGUCGGAAGGGGAAAGUGGAAUUCCGGGUGUAGUGGUGGAAUACGUAGAUAUCCGGAGGAACACCAGCGGCGAAGGCGGCUUCUGGUCCGAAUACUGACGCUGAGGUGCGAAAGCGUGGGGAGCGAUCCGG
rnacentral:rRNA from 1 species